rnacentral:rRNA from 1 species
AGAGUUUGAUCAUGGCUCAGGACGAACGCUGGCGGCGUGCCUAACACAUGCAAGUCGAACGGGGUCCAACCGGUGGCAACACUGGUGAAGACCUAGUGGCGAACGGGUGAGUAGCACGUGAGCAACCUGCCCCGAAGACCGGGACAACACCGGGAAACCGGUGCUAAUACUGGAUGCCCCCACCGGGCCGCAUGACCUGG